AUUUCUGUCGUUCCAUAAGAUUACCAAUUAAAACCUUGGAUUGCCUACUUAUUCUAACAGUCUAGCCGAACAUGAUUCCCAUAAAGUCGAAGCAAUGACCUGCGAACAAGAGAGAGAAAUAAGAAAAUGUAAACUUUUUGCUUCAGUUUUCUCCUGCACUGCAUCAAGUUAUAUCCGUGAUCAUGUGCUAUUAGGACCUCAUUUUAAGAUGAUUUGUUUGAGACAACGAUACAGAUUAAAAGCAACAAUGCCAACGUGGAUGAUGAAAUCAUGCUCGAUAAGGAUGGUGUUGAGAUUUUGGCAUGACCUCACCUCUCAGCAAGCUCCUUCUCUGUUUUGUUCCUCUCCUCAACACUCUCUUUUUUUGUUUGUUCUUUAUCUCACGCACUCUCACUUGUGUUUCAUCUUAAACACAAGCAUACUCUUUCUCUUUACUCUCUCGUAUGUCUUUGUUCUUGCAGAGAAAAGAGAAAACACUUUUAGAUGUCUACAUUCUUAGCCUUUUCUCAUUUUGUUUUCUUAACAUACAAACUUGCAUACUUAUAAAAAUCGUUUUCUCAUUAACAAUUACACACAGACUUAGACUUGUACACUUAACUACUACAACAUUAGACCUUACUUCUAGCUAAGCAACUCUCAACAACUCUAACAAUUAACUAGACUUUAUCCAACACUUCACUUUUUGUUGUUUUAACCAAACUAAUGUUUAGUUGCUUCUUGACUUAGUUUGUUGUAACGAAGUCAGAUCUCAAAUAUUCUUUAGCCUUUUGAAUUCUCCGCGUCAACUUCUUCUUUGUUCUUUUUUUAUUGCGUGGCAAGUUCCCUUGCUUCCACUUCUUCUUCUCACUUGAUCUCAUUUUUUUAGGUUUAAUCGAAGUUUCAAACUCCAACAGAUGGCUUUGUGUCUGAAACUAAUGCAACCAAAAUUCGUUUGAAAAAACUAUUAGGGUGGAGGAAUUCUGUUUGAUGCAAUUCAUGGUGAAGAAAGGCCGAGUUCUCACUCCGUAUGCAGAUUACAAUCUUCCAUGCAUUAUCCGAGCUACUUUCCUGGAACUGGUGGUGAAAGAAAACUUUAUAGUACAAGAACGAAAAUCAGCUUGUAGGAUCAGUUCCAUACAGAUAGAAAGUGCGUGAUGUUUUUCAUCUAUGCAAGUCUGGGUCAACGUAAUAACAGUUGGUCGCCAGCCGCGACCAAGUCAAGUCAGCCGCUCCUUGUUCGACGGCUGAACAAACAAACUGAACUGCCGAAUAAAUUUACUCAUCAC